rnacentral:rRNA from 2 species
GAGUUUGAUCGUGGCUCAGAACGAACGCUGGCGGCGUGGAUAAGACAUGCAAGUCGAACGCUAAUCACUGAGUAGCAAUAUUUAGUGGUUGGAGUGGCGCAAGGGUGCGUAACACGUGGGUAAUUUGCCGUGAAGUCGGGGAUAACUUGCUGAAAGGCGAGCUAAUACCGGAUGUGACUUUCGGAGGGCAACCUCUGAAACUUAAAGUCGGGGACCGCAAGGCCUGACGCUACACGAUAAGCCCGCGGCCUAUCAGCUAGUUGGUGAGGUAACGGCUCACCAAGGCUAAGACGGGUAGCUGGUCUGAGAGGACGACCAGCCACACUGGAACUGAGACACGGUCCAGACACCUACGGGUGGCAGCAGUCGAGAAUUUUUCUCAAUGGGCGAAAGCCUGAAGGAGCGACGCCGCGUGGGGGAUGAAGGGUUUCGAUCCGUAAACCCCUGUCAUUUGCGAACAAACCUUCCGGUUUAACUGGCCGGGAGCUGAUUGUAGCGAAAGAGGAAGGGAC